ACCUGCGUUGAUCCUGCCAGUAGUCAUAUGCUUGUCUUAAAGAUUAAUCCAUGCAUGUGUAAGUAUAAGUAUUGUACAGCGAAACUGCGAAUGGCUCAUUACAUCAGUUAUAAUUUAUUUGAUAAUCGAAAGUUACAUGGAUAACCGUGACAAAUUACAGCUAAUACAUGCAGUCAGACCUGGUCCAAGGGUCGUAAUUAUUAGUAUUAAACCAUUUCCGCAAGGAGUGUGAUGAUUCAUAAUAAUCGAACGAAUCGCCUGGUGUGCGAUAAAUCAUUCAAGUUUCUGCCCUAUCAGCUUUGGAUGGUAGUGUAUUGGACUACCAUGGCAGUCACGGGUAACGGAGAAUUAGGGUUCGAUUCCGGAGAGGGAGCCUGAGAAACGGCUACCACAUCUACGGAAGGCAGCAGGAGCGAAAAUUGCCCAAUCCCGACACGGGGAGGCAGUGACGAGAAAUAACAACUCUUGGUUAUUCUAAGAAGUGUAAUGAGGAUAAUUUAAAACCCUUACCGAAAGCAAUUGGAGGGCAAGUCUGGUGCCAGCAGCCGCGGUAAUUCCAGCUCCAAUAGCGUAUAUUAAAGUUGUUGCAGUUAAAAAGCUCGUAGUUGAAGUUCUGGCUGCUCGACCCUCGAGCUCUGUAGCCGGGGGCUCGGCAGUCAUCCGCUUGCAAACAUAUGUUCGCCUUUAACCGGGCGGCUAUGUGAGCAAGCAUUUUACCUUGAGAAAAACAGAGUGUUCCAGGCAGGUUUGUCCGGAAUGCAUUAGCAUGGAAUAAUAGAAUAUGACUGAAGUCGAUUUAUUGGUUUGAGGCUUUAGUAAUGAUUAAUAGGAACAGUCGGGGGCAUUGGUACUUGUCAGUCAGAGGUGAAAUUCUAGGAUUUGACAAAGACUAACAAAUGCGAAAGCAUUUGCCAAGGAUGUUUUCAUUAAUCAAGAACGAAAGUUAGGGGAUCAAAGACGAUCAGAUACCGUCCUAGUCUUAACUAUAAACUAUACCGACUCGGAUUCAGAUGAAUCAUAAAGUUCAUUUGGGACCGUAGGAGAAAUCAAAGUUUUUGGGUUCUGGGGGAAGUAUGGUCGCAAGGCUGAAACUUAAAGGAAUUGACGGUUUUGCACCACCAUGGAGUGGAGUCUGCGGCUUAAUUUGACUCAACACUGGGAAACUCAUCAGGGCAAGAAGAUUGUAGGAUUGACAGAUUGAGAGUUCUUUCUUGAUUGGUCUAGUGGUGGUGCAUGGCCGUUCUUAGUUGGUGGAGUGAUUUGUCUGGUUAAUUCCGUUAACGAACGAGACCUUAACCUGCUAACUAGUAUAUCGAUGACAAAUCGAUAUUACUUCUUAGAGGGACUAUGUGAUGUAAUCACAUGGAAGUUUGAGGCAAUAACAGGUCUGUGAUGCCCUUAGAUGUCCUGAGCUGCACGCGUACUACAAUGGUGCUUUCAACGAGCUUUUCCUGAUCCGAAAGGAUUUGGGUAAUCUUUUUAGUGAGCACCGUGUUUGGGAUAGAUCUUUGUAAUUAUGGAUCUUGAACUAGGAAUUCCUAGUAAGCGCGCGUCAUCAGCGCGUGCUGAUUACGUCCCUGCAAAAUGUACACACCGCCCGUCGCUAUUACCGAUUGAGUGUAAAGGUGAACCUUCUCGAUAGACGCAAGUUUAAAAAUUAAGUAAACCUUUGCACUUAGAGGAAAUAAAAGUCGUAACAAGGUUUCCGUAGGUGAACCUGCAGAAGGAUCAA
rnacentral:rRNA from 1 species